rnacentral:rRNA from 1 species
AGGAAUAUAUGGGUAAUCUGCCCUCGAGUUGGGGAUAACCAGUCGAAAGAUUGGCUAAUACCGAAUAAGACCACAGGAUCUGCGGAUCUAGGGGUUAAAGUUUUUCGCUUGAGGAUGAGCCCAUACGGGAUUAGCUAGUUGGUGAGGUAACGGCUCACCAAGGCUACGAUCCCUAACUGGUCUUAGAGGAUGAUCAGUCACACUGGAACUGAGACACGGUCCAG